UAGGUUAACGAGGCGAACCGGGGGAACUGAAACAUCUAAGUACCCCGAGGAAAAGAAAUCAACCGAGAUUCCCCCAGUAGCGGCGAGCGAACGGGGAGCAGCCCAGAGUCUGAAUCAGCUUGUGUGUUAGUGGAACGGUCUGGAAAGUCCGACGGUACAGGGUGAUAGUCCCGUACACCAAAAUGCACAGGCUGUGAACUCGAAGAGUAGGGCGGGACACGUGGUAUCCUGUCUGAAUAUGGGGGGACCAUCCUCCAAGGCUAAAUACUCCUGACUGACCGAUAGUGAACCAGUACCGUGAGGGAAAGGCGAAAAGAACCCCGGCGAGGGGAGUGAAAAAGAACCUGAAACCGUGUACGUACAAGCAGUGGGAGCACCUUCGGGUGUGACUGCGUACCUUUUGUAUAAUGGGUCAGCGACUUAUAUUCUGUAGCAAGGUUAACCGUAUAGGGGAGCCGCAGGGAAACCGAGUCUUAACUGGGCGUUAAGUUGCAGGGUAUAGACCCGAAACCCGGUGAUCUAGCCAUGGGCAGGUUGAAGGUUGGGUAACACUAACUGGAGGACCGAACCGACUAAUGUUGAAAAAUUAGCGGAUGACUUGUGGCUGGGGGUGAAAGGCCAAUCAAACCGGGAGAUAGCUGGUUCUCCCCGAAAGCUAUUUAGGUAGCGCCUCGUGAACUCAUCUUCGGGGGUAGAGCACUGUUUCGGCUAGGGGGUCAUCCCGACUUACCAACCCGAUGCAAACUACGAAUACCGAAGAAUGUUAUCACGGGAGACACACGGCGGGUGCUAACGUCCGUCGUGAAGAGGGAAACAACCCAGACCGCCAGCUAAGGUCCCAAAGUCAUGGUUAAGUGGGAAACGAUGUGGGAAGGCACAGACAGCCAGGAUGUUGGCUUAGAAGCAGCCAUCAUUUAAAGAAAGCGUAAUAGCUCACUGGUCGAGUCGGCCUGCGCGGAAGAUGUAACGGGGCUAAACCAUGCACCGAAGCUGCGGCAGCGACACUAUGUGUUGUUGGGUAGGGGAGCGUUCUGUAAGCCUGCGAAGGUGUGCUGUGAGGCAUGCUGGAGGUAUCAGAAGUGCGAAUGCUGACAUAAGUAACGAUAAAGCGGGUGAAAAGCCCGCUCGCCGGAAGACCAAGGGUUCCUGUCCAACGUUAAUCGGGGCAGGGUGAGUCGACCCCUAAGGCGAGGCCGAAAGGCGUAGUCGAUGGGAAACAGGUUAAUAUUCCUGUACUUGGUGUUACUGCGAAGGGGGGACGGAGAAGGCUAUGUUAGCCGGGCGACGGUUGUCCCGGUUUAAGCAUGUAGGCUGGUUGUCCAGGCAAAUCCGGAUAAUCAAGGCUGAGGUGUGAUGACGAGGCACUACGGUGCUGAAGUAACAAAUGCCCUGCUUCCAGGAAAAGCCUCUAAGCAUCAGGUAACAUUAAAUCGUACCCCAAACCGACACAGGUGGUCAGGUAGAGAAUACCAAGGCGCUUGAGAGAACUCGGGUGAAGGAACUAGGCAAAAUGGUGCCGUAACUUCGGGAGAAGGCACGCUGGUGUGUAGGUGAAGUCCCUGCGGAUGGAGCUGAGACCAGUCGAAGAUACCAGCUGGCUGCAACUGUUUAUUAAAAACACAGCACUGUGCAAACACGAAAGUGGACGUAUACGGUGUGACGCCUGCCCGGUGCCGGAAGGUUAAUUGAUGGGGUUAUCCGUAAGGAGAAGCUCUUGAUCGAAGCCCCGGUAAACGGCGGCCGUAACUAUAACGGUCCUAAGGUAGCGAAAUUCCUUGUCGGGUAAGUUCCGACCUGCACGAAUGGCGUAAUGAUGGCCAGGCUGUCUCCACCCGAGACUCAGUGAAAUUGAACUCGCUGUGAAGAUGCAGUGUACCCGCGGCAAGACGGAAAGACCCCGUGAACCUUUACUAUAGCUUGACACUGAACAUUGAGCCUUGAUGUGUAGGAUAGGUGGGAGGCUUUGAAGCGUGGACGCCAGUCUGCGUGGAGCCAACCUUGAAAUACCACCCUUUAAUGUUUGAUGUUCUAACGUUGGCCCCUGACCGGGGUUGCGGACAGUGUCUGGUGGGUAGUUUGACUGGGGCGGUCUCCUCCCAAAGCGUAACGGAGGAGCACGAAGGUUAGCUAAUCCUGGUCGGACAUCAGGAGGUUAGUGCAAUGGCAUAAGCUAGCUUGACUGCGAGCGUGACGGCGCGAGCAGGUGCGAAAGCAGGUCAUAGUGAUCCGGUGGUUCUGAAUGGAAGGGCCAUCGCUCAACGGAUAAAAGGUACUCCGGGGAUAACAGGCUGAUACCGCCCAAGAGUUCAUAUCGACGGCGGUGUUUGGCACCUCGAUGUCGGCUCAUCACAUCCUGGGGCUGAAGUAGGUCCCAAGGGUAUGGCUGUUCGCCAUUUAAAGUGGUACGCGAGCUGGGUUUAGAACGUCGUGAGACAGUUCGGUCCCUAUCUGCCGUGGGCGCUGGAGAAUUGAGGGGGGCUGCUCCUAGUACGAGAGGACCGGAGUGGACGCAUCACUGGUGUUCGGGUUGUCAUGCCAAUGGCACUGCCCGGUAGCUAAAUGCGGAAGAGAUAAGUGCUGAAAGCAUCUAAGCACGAAACUUGCCCCGAGAUGAGUUCUCCCUGAGACUU
rnacentral:rRNA from 1 species